rnacentral:rRNA from 1 species
AGUGAACGCUGGCGGCAGGCCUAACACAUGCAAGUCGAGCGGCAGCGGGUCCCCGCGAGGGGAUGCCGGCGAGCGGCGGACGGGUGAGGAACACAUCGGAAUCUGCCUGGUUGUGGGGGAUAACGUAGGGAAACUUACGCUAAUACCGCAUGAGACCCUGAGUCGACGGACUGGGGGUGAAAGUGAGGGACCUUCGGGCCUCACGCGACCAGAUGAGCCGAUGUCGGAUUAGCUAGUUGGCGGGGUAACGGCCCGCCAAGGCGACGAUCCGUAGCUGGUCUGAGAGGAUGAUCAGCCACACUGGGACUGAGACACGGCCCAGACUCCUACGGGAGGCAGCAGUGGGAAUCUUGGACAAUGGGCGCAAGCCUGAUCCAGCCAUGCCGCGUGGGUGAUGAAGGCCUUAGGGUUGUAAAGCUCUUUUACCCGGGAAGAUAACGACGGUACCGGGAGAAUAAGCCCGGCUAACUUCGUGCCAGCAGCCGCCGUAA